UUGCAAAAUCAAUGCAGUCUUUAUCGGGAACUAAAAUCCGUUGCAUAUUGCCGAAAAGCAUUUCGUGGUGGCAUAAAUUACGCUGGAGGUGAAGUAAUAAAUCCAGCACAUAAACGAAAAAAAAUUGUGCCAUUUUGCUGCACGAAAAAAGUACCUGCGCAGAUCGAGUCGAAUGAUUGACAGUUUGUUUCCCUUAAUAAAGCUUGUUUAAGGCAAGGAGAUCUCGUUGUUAAGGAACACAUUCCAUCGAUGGUCAGAAGUCGACUCAGCAGCGUUUAAGUGAGUUUAAGCGAUAAGUAUGGCUGACCUAGGCACGAGAACAAUUAAUUGAGAUGCAAUCUUUGGAAAUAUAUUAGUUUCAGAGGAGAUUCAGAGAGUUCAAUUCACUUCUCGACUUUCGGCAAACUUGAUCCAAGGAGUAAGUUCCCAAAGCUGAUUGGAGCAUCAGAGAAUUUCAGAAAACUGGAAAUAAUCUGCCCCAUUCUCACUGCAACAAACAACUACGCUGGAUCUCGUAAAAG